GACGAACGCUGGCGGCGUGCUUAACACAUGCAAGUCGAACGGAAAGGCCCUGCUUUUGUGGGGUGCUCGAGUGGCGAACGGGUGAGUAACACGUGUCUAACCUGCCCUUGCCUUUGGGACAACUUCAGGAAACUGGCGCUAAUACCGGAUAGGAGCUCCUGCAGCAUGGUGGGGGUUGGAAAGUUUCGGCGGUUGGGGAUGGACUCGCGGCUUAUCAGCUUGAUGGUGGGGUAGUGGCUUACCAAGGCUUUGACGGGUAGCCGGGCUGCGAGGGUGAGCGGCUACAUUGGGACUGAGAUACGACCCAGACUCCUAUGGGAGGCAGCAGAGGGGAAUAGUGCACAAUGGGCGGAAGCCUAAUGCAGCAACGCCGCGUGCGGGAUGACAGCCUUCGGGUUGUAAACCGCUUUCGCCUGUGACGAAGCGUGAGUGACGGUAAUGGGUAAAGAAGCACCGGCUAACUACGUG
rnacentral:rRNA from 1 species